rnacentral:rRNA from 1 species
UACGUAGGGCGCGAGCGUUGUCCGGAAUUAUUGGGCGUAAAGAGCUCGUAGGCGGCCUGUUGCGUCCGCUGUGAAAGCCCGGGGCUUAACCCCGGGUCGGCAGUGGAUACGGGCAGGCUAGAGGUAGGUAGGGGAGAAUGGAAUUCCCGGUGUAGCGGUGAAAUGCGCAGAUAUCGGGAGGAACACCAGUUGCGAAGGCAGCUCGCUGGGACGAUACUGACGCUGAGGCGCGAAAGCGUGGGGAGCAAACAGG